rnacentral:rRNA from 1 species
UACGUAGGGGGCAAGCGUUAUCCGGAAUGAUUGGGCGUAAAGCGUCCGCAGGUGGCAGUUCAAGUCUGCUGUCAAAGACCGGGGCUUAACUUCGGAAAGGCAGUGGAAACUGAACAGCUAGAGUAUGGUAGGGGCAGAGGGAAUUCCUGGUGUAGCGGUGAAAUGCGUAGAGAUCAGGAAGAACAUCGGUGGCGAAGGCGCUCUGCUGGACCAUAACUGACACUCAGGGACGAAAGCUAGGGGAGCGAAUGGG